UACGGAGGGUGCGAGCGUUAAUCGGAAUUACUGGGCGUAAAGGGUGCGUAGGUGGUUGUAUAAGUUAUCUGUGAAAUCCCUGGGCUUAACCUGGGAAGGUCAGAUGAUACUGUUCGACUAGAGUAUGGGAGAGGGUAGUGGAAUUUCCGGUGUAGCGGUGAAAUGCGUAGAUAUCGGAAGGAACACCGGUGGCGAAGGCGGCUACCUGGCCUAAUACUGACACUGAGGCACGAAAGCGUGGGGAGCAAACAGG
rnacentral:rRNA from 1 species